CUGCCUGUAACUUUAUUAAAAGAUGGGCUCUCUGAUAGUUUGAUUUGCACUAACUUGCAGGUCUUGUUACAGUCAUUCUGUGAAUUGAAGCAGUGUGAUGUUUCUGUUUAAUUAAAAUACUAUUUCUCAGGUCUCAGCACACGCAGAUAUUGUAUUAAAGAACUUGUUUUCCACUUGAGGGGGUGGGUUGUAUUGAUUAUGCUUUGAAACUACUGUGUGGGUAAAUUGUGCUUAACAGUCUGUUCAGUGUGUAUAUUCCCACUGUGUUGAGGAAGACAAGAAUACUGUAGAGUGUGGGUAUGCUAGUGAUGAUUGCAGUUUAGAUUAUUUAUUAUAUGGAAAUAAUUAAUAUUUAUUCUUAGGUAUAUUUUUUUCACAAGCCUAGACUUCAUCCUGCCUUAGCUUCUCUUUUUAAAGUAUUGACUUCACUAAGGUUGAACCAGUUGCGAUUGUGUGGUGUAUUCAAAACCUCUUUGACAGCCAAGAGAUUCUUUAGGCAAAUGAGUAUGGUGGGAUAAGGGAUGUUCAGCAACAUUGUUGCGGCUCUUUGAAUUGAACCUGGGGUACUUUUGGUCUUGAUGGUGUUGCUUCGAAGUGUUAAUGCAUGGUGAGAUCUGCUCAGCCUGCCAAAGGGUGGUGAACCUUUGCAUCUGCUGCACCAAUUCUGUGCAGUUGGAGUAAGAAAACUGCAUAUUUUUUUCCAUUUUCACCAAUUCAAACUACAUGUAUUCUCUCACCUUCACCUUUUCAAGUAAAUGACCACUGCCUAGUCUUAAUAGUAUGUGCAUGUGAACAUUCUCAUUUCUUUGACAGUAUGUGCAGAGAAUUUGAGACCUGUGUGUGCAGGCUGAAUUGAUUGAAACAUCAAUUUUAAAGUGUGAUGGUUUGAUAUUAAUUAUGUGUGGAAAGUCCUCAAUGUGUUGAGGACCUCUUGUGAUACGGGUUUGUGAGUGGCCAGGAAAACUGUUGCUUCUUCCAAAGAACUUCCUGUCUAAGAAGCUACAUUAAUGGAGAAGUAACUUUUAAGAUAAAUAACCGUCCUUGGGAAUGUGGAGCAGGACAGAAAACACUAGAAAAACUGAGACUAGUGUGAGGAGACAAAAAAGGCAUUAAACACAAGGUGGGAAAAAUGCUGUAGCAAUUGGAGGUGAAGCACUUUUUAAAUACCUUCUUGGUGCCAUAACUUAAAUCAGGAGUAAUACCAGUGGCCAGACUUUAUUAAUUUUAUUUUUUUUAAAUAAAAUGGGUUGCUGGGAGAGGCUGGAUUCUUUUCUUAAUAUUGAAAAUCCUAACUCUAUCAGCAGUCUCUGAUUAUGUUGAUCAUAAGGUGUUGACGGCCGUAGUGGCUUUCAUCACAUCUUUCUAAGAUGCCAGAGAACUGUAAUGAGUAGCAGCUUGUCUUCCAGGAGAGCUACAAGACAAGUUCCAACACUGUUGCAUUCUGAUUAUGUUUUUUUAGUCAAUAAGUGCAUGAAGGUGAUAGAAGACAGAUUGAGGUGUUAAAGCCAACAGUGUCACCAUUAUGCUGUUAGCAGCUUUUCAGAAAUACUUUUUGGUUUUCUUUCAUUUGAAUUUUGUAAACUGAGACAUUAAUCCUUCUAUUCACGAGUCCCACUGGCGUUUGGUAGUGUUGUUUGUUUUUGUUGUAGUGUGGUUGUUGUUUUUGGGUUUUGUUUUCUUUUAUCAACCAAAAAAUCCCCCUAAGCUUUCAGGGGAUCCUAGCCAAGUAGAAAAAUCAUAACCUUAAAGAUAGGGUUUUAGAGAAUGACAUCUAGAAUAUGUCUGUACCCUGAUUUUAAGAGCAUGUGUUAACAGUUCAACAUGAUUGGUAGUUUUUCCAGAAUGUUUAAAUCCCUCAGGGUAACAAUAGCCAGAAAUACCUUCUUCCUCUGUUGUUUGGCCAGCCAAAGAUCAUAUCCUUUCUUCUCCCAUGCACGUUGCGUCUUUGUUCAAUCUGUCAUCUCCAGGUAGGCUACACUUUUGUUUCGCUGCAGUUGGAAAACCAUUUAUAUUCUUUACACAAAGCAGGAUAUGACUCUAUUAAAUGGAGACCAAAAAUAAUUGGGGUUUUUUUGCACGGCAGUAGUGGCCAGGUCACUUUUGUGUACAGUCAGACCAUUUACAGCAGCACGUCUCCCUGUAUAUUUGUAUGUGACAUUAAAAACCUGGUGAGAUUGCUUCUGUUUCUGCUUCCAGGGGAUCUCAGGGCAGGGUCCUUCUGUUGUCAUCCUCACUAGACUUUCAGGCUGGAGCUGAGAGUUUGUUACCCACUGAAGGCAGUGCGAGAUACGUUGUUGCUCUGCUUGGCUCCGCGCUUUUCUGGCGAUGGGAUCUCUCUAGUUCGUUUUUUUGCUGGUUUGUUAGAUUAUCCCCUCUUUCACAGGAGGUAAAGGGUAGUGUAUUGUAAAAGGACAUAACCAUUUUAGAAGCAGGUGUAUUGUAAUUAUGUGUGUUUGAAAUCCCCAUUUCUCUUGCUCUUAUCUGCGCACACAUAUAUCACUGAAGAUUUCUAUCAAUACGUCCCAAGUGAUUCUAAACCUGGCAAAGGAAAAGGCAGGAGAAAAGAAGUGAGUGGUGACAUAAUUGGGCCAGCGAAGAAGCUGUAAAAUUCCAUUUAGCGUGCCUUUAAAAAAACAUCUGACCCAUGUAAUACCUUGUAUAGAUUAACUCCCAGCUUUCCUUAAAGCUGUAUAUAACUGCCUUUAAAGCUGUGCCAGUAUCUUUAACUCUGUUCAGUUUUUAGAACGCCAUUUGCAGCUCUUUCUAUGCCUGUUAUCAGGGCAUGGCCUUUUAAAUAUAGACAGUGUGGAGUGUAUCUGCUUUGAGAACCGUAACCUUUUAUUUCCCCAGUAUGAAUUACUUUUAUUUCAAGUCAUAGUGAAGAUUAGAUAUUAAAAAUUAGCUGCUUGGCACAAUGCCAUAUGGAAAAUUAAUUUGCAAAUGUUAAUAAAUAAAGACAGGAUACAAAUAAUACUCCCUGUAUUUUCUGUAUUUAAAAAAAAAAUCAAACUGCUGAACAAAAAACCUCAACAAAAUCACCAAGCAGGUUCUGUUCUUCUGACUAGUCUUUCUUAAGCAUGUUUGGUAUGCCAUAGAUGUUUGUGUGUUGGUAGAUUCAUGAUCUCUUAAUUUUUUGGCCUGCAAAAAUGCACAUCAGUUUUUUGGUUGUUGAAUACUUUUUUUCCCGUUCUCAGCUUGAGCCAUGAUAUGGACUUAGUGCAUAGUUCUUAAUUAGUUUCUUGGAUUUGGAGUGGUUACCUUGAUUUAUUCACUAUAAUUACCAAGUCUUGCUAAUUAUAGGCAUGGUCUUUUGAGUUUAGUAUUUCAUCUUUAGAACUGUAGAGCAGGAUUGCUUUUAUUUUCCUGUGUUUGAUAUUUAAGCAUGGAAGAAUACAUGUUUAUAUCACAGUGAAUCUUUCUGUGUAUUUACACUUAGUGUUGCAAAAUCAGUCUUGCAUUCUUGUAGACAAUGUUUUGCUGUACUUGCUGGCAGUAAGAUUUUGUAUGGACUUACAUUAUUUUUAAGUUACCUGUGAAGUGAAGACUUCAAAAGUUAAUGUGUUUUACAGCAUCCUAUGAAGGCUGCUAUAAGUGAAUUUAAAAAUAACUUCAGCUGAAGUGUUGUUUGCCAUUACUCAAAAGCAGGUUUUGUGAAUGAGGGAUAAGAGAACUAGUAACUGCGUCCCUGUCCUUGAAAACAUUUCCUGCAGAAUUGUUUGCGUUCUUUAGGCUGGUGCAAAUUGUGUUCACCUGUUUGUGCAUGUCAUCCAACGAAGCUGAAGAGAAAAGAGGAAAAGAUGAUCUAAACACAAAACAAGCAUAGGGAUUUAAAAUAUGUUUUAUUAUCUGACAAUAUCAUUAUUUUUAAGAGAAGUUUUUAUUAAAAGAUCCCUUUAGAAAUGUUUUUUGUGUAGGACAUGUCUUUUGGCUUGGUACGAAGUUUGUAGAGGGGCUGGAAGAUGAAAGCUGAACAUGAGAAUCAAGACUUGUGAGCAACUUUUAAGAGCUCUCUAGCAGUAGUAACUAGUACUAGAUUGUAAAGUGAAGGUACAGUCAGGAAGCUGGAUUCAUGUUCAUCAUGUAUGCAGCCAUGUAGUGAAAAGGUUGACAAGUGAGAUUUUUACAGAUGUAAUUCAAUACUUUUUGAAGAUUUUAGUAAGCAGUAGUGAAUGAAGUAAGUGAGGUAGAACUGGAAGCUUCAAUUAUAUUUUUGCUGCAGUAACUAUUUUGCAUACUUACUUUGAUUGUGUAAGUGGUUUUAGAGUUUUUAUGGGCUUUUUUGUUUGCUGGAAGUUUUGCUGCUCUGUAUUUGGUGAGAAAUGAAAUUGAUACUUUACAACAAAGGAUUUCUGGUGGAUUAGCAUAGAUUUAUAGUGAUUUUUUUUUUUGUUGCAUCUUAGGGGCACUAGUGCUGUUUUCUGUCUUGCAGAUUUUAAACUUGAUUCAUAGUCUUGCCACCAUUUUGAAAACCAUGUGAUUUGAGUUCUAGGAGAUGAGCUGUUAAAAAAAUCUGUUCGUAUGUUCAGUUGAGCUUUCUGUGGAACUUGAAAAAAUUAUUAACCUCACUAAUGACAAGUGAAUGAGUAGAAAGAGAGAACUUCGAGGAAGAAAAUGUGUUUGCUGUUGUGUCAUGCUGACAAGUCCAGUUUCACUUUGUCUGAUGGAGUAAAAGACCUAUUGUUGGUGGAAUUGACUUUGUUAGUUCUGCUCUGAGUAAAGAACAAUGAGGAAUUUAGGGUCUGCACCUUGUGUGUCUGCUGACCAGCUGUAGGUGGCAAUACCUUUUUUGAUGGAGCUUUUCCUGGCCUCUUUUAUAGAUGCAUUUUCUGCAUGCCAUGAUACACUUUGAACUAAGGGUUGCUAAAGUGCUUGGUAUUACAUUGCCUUUCAAGACAGGAAGAGCCAACAGAUACCAGGGGGUUAUAAAAGCAGUGAUUUAGGACUUAAGGCAGAUGCUGAGAAAUUAUCUCUUCAAGUGAUUUCCAGAAACCAUUCCUUAGCACUGCAGUUUUGCUUGCUCUUUGGAGCAGUGUUUAAAUAUGAAACCAUCUAUGUAUGUGUAUGUGAAAAUGAGCAAACAUGAUUUCAAAGUAUUUAAUUAAAUAAACAAUCAUUGUUACUAUCUCAAGGUUUGCAUUCUUUAUGGGCUAAUCUGAAAAUUAUGAUUAAACGCACUGACAAAUGGAUUGGUAGUGAAGUGUUUCAGCCUUUAAAAGUUACUGUGAUCUAGAUAAUGGGGAACAGAGUGAAGAUUGUAUCAGUCCAUAGUAAGCUAGCAAAGUUAGCAGAGUGUGAAGGGAAAAUAAUUAACAAACAAACACCACCAUCCCCUCCAAAAAACCCUAACCCUAGCGACCCCCAAUAUGUUAGUGUAUCUUGCUUAGGCAUAAAUAAAAAGGCGUAUGGUUAGCACACCUAUGCUACAAAAAGACCCCCUACAACCUGUUCAUUUUACAGGUUGAAAUAAAAGUACAUAAGCCUUUUCAGAUCUGUCUCUUAACAGCUUAGGAAGUACAUCAAAUUGUAAACAGCAAUAUUGCUAGUCUGGUCUUUUAAACAGGAAACUGCACAUGCCUGAAUAUCAGUGCAAUUCUAGCAAGUGAUUCUUGGUAUGACCUUUCUGGGAAUAAUUUGUGAUCUGGGCUAGCAGUGUGAUGUAGGUGGAACAUAAAAAUGACUAGAAAAGAAUAGUAUGUCUUUGUUUUCAUUGAUUUAAUGCACGGGUUCUUUUUCUAUUCUUUUGAUUAAUUUAUGAGACCAAAAUGUACUAUGUGUAAUACAUGUUAUACUUUAGCAAAUGACUGAAACCUUCUUAAAGUGGGCCUAUACCUUUCAUUUAUGGAUUUACACCACCAAAAGCAGUGCUAUUUAAGACAGACUAAGGGUAAGAUUAUUCAGUAAAUUAUUUCAUGGUAAUGAUUGCUGUAAAUAAGAAACUAGUUUAUUCUCAGCAUGGUUGUACAGGAAAAUAUAGCCUAAAGCUAAGAUGGAAAGAGUUCCUGAGUGACUGGAGAUAUAGCAUUUUAUUUGUUUUAGCCUGUUCUAAAGCACUCAGACUUAGGAAUUGUAUGAUGGAAGUGCAGCAUAAUUAUGGUAUCAAAUUGGAGCACCUGAUCAUCCUUCUGGCUUUAAUGUCUGGGAACACUUUAACUACUUUUCUACCUUUGGAAUUUGCUAACAAAGAUAGUAAUUGUGCUACAGUCAGUGGUGUAGAAAUCCUUAUCAGCUUAUUUUGUGCAAGCCUCCAAACACCUAUUGUGCAUUGUCAGUGUUGGAAGCGGGAUUUGGUUUGUGGUUGCAGUUAUAUGCAAAAAUCUCUGACUUCGACUGAAGCCGAAUUGACUUUCCCGAGAGAGGUAUUUAGAGGUUAUAAAUGUUUGGCAGGCAGGGAUUGUAAUGGUGCCAUACAGGCAAGUGGAAGAGCCUGUGGUAGUUUAGGUGUUCUGUCAUUGUUGGUUACCUUAUGGACUAAGUCACUUGUUAGUACCUACUAAAUGAGGGCUUCUGAUUUUGCUGUUGUGCAGAGGUGAAGAAUGGUAUUCAUCAUGUUCAAACACAUCCUUAUGCUUUAAUAAUGGGAACUUGUUCAAUUUUAUGAAAUUUUUUAUACUUGCAAAAGGAAGAUCUUUAAUGUGUUUUGGUAAAACAGAAAAGUCACAGUAAAGUUUUUCACUGUUUUCUUUGAGCAGUUACUUUGAUUAUGCUUCCUUUACAUUAUUUUGGUAUUAUUGCGUACCAAAAAUGACUCCUGAGUUUUUUCUUCUCCACUGGGUUUUGUUAGAUCCUUGUCCCUCAUGUUUAAUGGUUUAUUAUGCUGUUUUGAGGUGUUGUUGAGGCUUCCUAUAUUGAUGACCUUUGACACUCAGGAUGUAAAGUUAAGAAUCGUAGGCAUUCAAGUUUGAAAUUCUUGUUCCAAUUUCUGUAUUUUCUUGCAGUGCAGGGUUAGCGAUGGUCCAGAACAGUAAAAGUAACUUAGCUUGUUUCAGCAGAGUAUGGCUACCAAAGCAAACUACUCUUUAAAAGUACCUUUCUUACUGGGGCUUGUAGGUAUUGUACAGUCUGAAAUGGGUACAGAAUUUUGAAAAUACACUAGAAGAACAGAGUAAGGAGUAAAGUAGUUGGGGAUUUUGUUUAUCAUUAUAGCUUGGGAAUUUAACACAGUUCUGGAGCUUACUGUAGUCCUCAAAGAGCAACAAAUGCAUCUACCACUGAUGCUAUUUUUUUUCCUCAAGGAAAUUCUCAGAAAACAGCUUUGUAGUUGUUUUUAUUAAAUUUAAGGGGUAUCUUGUUCAUCUGUUUAUAUAUUUCUGAAUAAUCCAUUUUUUUGAGUGUAGCUGAGAAGUACCACUUUAUAAAUUGCUAAAACAGGCAGCAGAGGAUCUUCUCUAAGUUUAGAUUUAGAGAUGAACUUGCUAAUAGGUGAAUGCGACCACAGUCUGUUAAAAAAGACAGGCAGCACUUCUAGUAAAGUAUAGAUUUGAUAGCAACUGGAAGUUGAUUGUAGAGUGUUUUAUAACUUGCUUAAGUUUUUUAAAUGGCUUGGCCAGGCAUAUUGUUUGAGCUUCUGUGUGAUUUAAGUAUUUUUCUAGCCUUCUUUUUUAUGUCUUGUCUUUUCUUUUUUCUUUUUUUUUUUUUUUUUUUUUGUUUUUGGUUUUGUUUGGUUUUUUGUUUGUGUGUGUUUGGUUGUUUGAAUUAGCGUGGAUAUCAGCAGGAAGUUUUCAGGACUUUGAUUUCCCGGUGUGUUACUGAGUUUUGAACUUCUCCAGCAGCUGUUUAAGCAACAGUGUCAAAGUACUGUGCUAAAUACUAGGGAUAGUACUGAAAGCUGCUGAGAAUGUGGAUACACAUUCAACAAUAGUUUUAGCAUCUUAAUGCAUUUAAUAAUAGGGUUCUUUUUUACUUCAGUACUGCAGUGUAGCUCUUAAUGAUGAGUUACACAGGUAACGUAAUUUCAGCAUGCAGUGCUAUUACUGUAUGGUUGUUUCUUUAUUCUCACUGUUACACUUGGUUCAUUCCCCCUGUAAGAUCACAAGGUGUGGAUCAAAUGAAAGUUACACCAUCUGUUUUGCAGAUAUUGUUAGCCUUUUAUUUGUAAUCCAUUGUCUUGUGGGUCCUAGUUAUUGAUAACUGAGUUAUCAAUAUAUUAAUUGUCUUUGGUUCUUACAUAUCUAGUUAGUAGUCCUUUUAGUUACAUUAAGUGUUAAAUUCUGAGUUUGGUAUCCAUUAAGUGUUGCUUAUGCUGGUUUAUAAAUGGUGUUUUCCUCCAAAUCCUUGUAAACAAAUAAAAGUUAUAGAAAUAGCUCUUAAUGUUUCUGCAGUAACUUUGAAGUCUAUGCAAUGUAGAGAGAUGAAAUCCCUGUCAAGAUGAGAGAAAACUUAAAUGCCUCUUAAGCUUCCUCUGACCUUCAUUUCACCCAAUUCCAUCACAGUCAUGGAUAGAUAACAAAGAGAGAUGAUGACUGGCAGUUGAUUUUUAUAUAUAAGAAACUGUAGAAAUCAAAAAUGUUAGAAUGUAGCCAUACUAAGUUGGUUUCUAUAUAUUUAGUGCUCUUAUAGCUAUUAAGGAAGACAGUGAUUAAAAAUUAACCCAGUAAUUCAUGUAUGAUUGCUUUUAUGUCUGUUGUGACUGCAGUUUUGAAAUACUUCUCUUUUUGAAGAAAAGCAAGCAAAAAUUUCUCAGACAGAAUCUGAAUAAUGAGUGACUUGUUUGGCAUAUAUUGCCACUGAGCUGGGAUAAGCAAAGGGAAAAAAAGGCUUCUGUAGAUUUCCUGGAAGAUUAUUUUAAGCUUCAUAAUUUUACUGGAUGUAUGUGUGUUGAAAUAUCAUAAUGUGUUUUUGUACCAUAUGAAAGAUUCCAUAUUUUUCUGAGGAAGUCUGUCUGUGGACUAUAAACAGUGUUUUAAUUUGUACUUCCAGAUUGAGCCUGACAGAAGUGGAAUGCUUUUCUUUCCCUUUAGGAUUUUGUGAGGGUUCAUGCUGUAAUGCCUGCCAUAUAGGAAGGAAUGUAAGGGGAAGGAGAGCAACUUAGGAUGUUUCAUGAUUAUUGUGUGUGUGUCAACUUGUGCAUUAUUAAUAGUAAUUCUCUCUUGAUGUCACUUUCAGUAGAGGAUUCUCAGACUAUAAGCAUCUCUGAAAUCUGUCAAAAAGGAUUUUAUAGUAAUAAUUAGUUUAUAUUUAGCAUUAUGGUUUAUGUUCUAAGCUGUUCAGUGAAGAAUCGUGACCUGAUCUGAAUUUGAAAUGUCUCCUGAACAUCUUGGUUAAUUUGCUUUUGAAAUCCUUCAGUCUGAAAUUGUUAAUGUUCCUUACCUGUAUGUACGCAUAUGAGAAUAUAUAAAGCUUUUUUUUUUUAAUAAAACAACCCGAAACCAACCUACUGGUGGAAGAAUGAGCAAUUGCUGCUUUUACAGUCUCAUUUCUUGCAGUCUUACAAAAUAAGACCAAGUGAAAAUAAAAUAAAAGGAACCAUGAGUUAAUGACUACGUACUUUAAGUACUUGUUAAAUAAUUUACUGUAGCAACCAAAUGAAUUCAAGGUAUAAAUGUACCUCUUUAAUCUGCUGAAUGAGGUUAUUAUGUUAAGAAUGGAUCAGCAUAUUGCACUGCCAAGUGUUUCUGUAGUAGGCCUAAUAUCCCAAAUUGGGUGAAAUGUCGAAUUGCUCAUAAAUGUUCAGGGAUUGGUGUAGGAUGUGUGUGUACCUCCAUGUUAUUUUUUUUCUUUCCAAGUGUAUGAGAUUCCUUCCAAUUCUGUAAUUGCUUGUGAAAAGGAGGAGUUGCUGAGCCUGUAUUUGAUUGGAGAGAGAGGAGGGAGGGUAGAAGGUGUGAAAGAAAUGUUCAUGAUGCUGGUUUUGGUUUUCUUCUUCAUUUCUGGUGGGGAAAAGGAUUUUAGUUUUUGAAAUACUGUCAGGCAUGCAGUGUGUCAGUCAAGUAUAUGCAGUUGCUGGCAAUACAGCCUCUUCCUAUUUAUGGGAUAGUAGCUAAAAUGCCUUGUGAAUUGGUGCCCUGCUUUGCUGGCUGCUUUAUAACAAAGAGCGGAAAAGAUAAUGUUGAAGGAUUUGGUGUCUGAUGUCCAUACAACUUCUGAAGCGAUUUUAAGACAGAGAUGCUUUAAAGCAGGCAAAAUCCUAAAUGUUUUUAGUGGUUUAUGGAAAAACAGAGCAGCAAAGCAGGAUUAGUAAUCUCUAUGUUCUUGUGGAGUUGUACCCUGCUAAUAAUGAAGUGCAUCAUCAGGAAUAGCACUGUGCUGGCAGUUGCUGGAGCCUCUUCAGGAGGUCUCACCAACUGCCCUUGGGGUGUGUAGGUCUGUAGUGCUGCUUAAGUGUUGGAUGUGGGGAAGAAACUGAGCAGUCUUGUUAUUUCACUGGAAUUUAACAUGGAAAUGGAAGAUAAUGAUUUGCAUCAAGAUACCUUCAGCUUCUAGAGCACUGUGAUCUGUGGAAGGGGAGAAAGAAAUACUAGCAUGUUAUAGCAGAUAGGUGUAGUUAUCUUCACUUCCUGCAUUUGUCUGACUAUCAGAAUCCAAUGUGGAAUCUUUAUUAUGUAUGUUUACUGUCAAAAUUCUUAAAAUAUUUAGAACAGUUUUUUUAAAUUCUUGUGAAAUUAUUGAAUAAAAAUAUUUUCUCUGAAAAAGUUCUCCAAAGAAUUUUGUAAAGGACAUUGAACUUGUAUGAGGUGUUCAUACAUAUUUUUCAAAUAGAGGCUUGUCUUGAUACUUAAAGGAUUUAAGCAAGCCAUGUAAUCCUCCCUCUUAAUACUUUUUAUCUGGGGAGAUGUUUAAGGAAAGCUGUCCAGGGUUUUAAUUUUUAAAAUUUUAUUUUAAAAAGUUUCCUCCUAUUCCAACCUCUGAACAUGAUAGACUAAAUCAUUCUUAAUGUUUCAGAAACAUGUGCAUUUUAUGGCUAUCUAAAAUGUUCUAGUUCUUUUUAUAUUCCAAGAACAACAAUAAAGAACAAAAAAGCACCCAAGCCCUGGGAUGUCUUUUUGUUAAAUAAUGAAGUUUACAUAAUAUGUUAGCCAGAAGAUAAGUCUGAUCAAUAUAAGAGCCAUGCAAUACUGAAAUCCCAGACAUCCAUCCUUCUAGUUUGGCUGUAAAAUCCUAUGAUUUUGUGGAUUUACAGGUACUCUUUAAAAAUACAUUCUUGAAGUUGCUGUCAGGUUGCUCUGGAUUACAUCUGUAGCCUUUGUGAAUGCAGACAAAUCUUCUCAUGCUUUUGUUACUGUGAUCACUAGAGUCAUACAUAUUGUAUUAAUCAAAUGAUAUUGCCGUGUAGCUAUGCUCAACUUGGCAGCUUGGCAGCGUGAGGUCUGUGCUCACAAUUGGUCAAGUAUAAGUUUUGGCUGUCUGUAGCAGAUGGUAAUAUGUAUGAUAUGUAGAAUUUCUGUAAAUUAUAUGCUAGAAGUUCUUAAACAAUGCAUUUUCUACUAAAAACUUCAAUUUUCUUGGAUACCAUUCUUAAAAAUGUAAUUAUAAUAUGAGAAAUCAUAUUAAGUGAAACAAAUAUUUUCUUUAGUAUUUUAUAUCCUAAAUUAUAUACUCUAACUCAAGGUUUGCAUUUAAAAUUAUGUUAUUAAAAUGGUUUCUUCCAUUGCAGAAUUGUACAAGCAUAUGGGUAACCUUUAUUUAAAAUGUUUUUUCUCAUCUGUUUCAUGUUUUUCACCACUGAUUUAUGUUGUCUGCUUCUGAUGAAGAGGCAAGAUUUAGAAACAAAGCCAUUUCAGAAAUCAUUAGAUUGCUGGAAAGAUUUGCAUUUUGUUUCAGAAAUAAAAGUAGCUAACAUUGGUAGUCUCAUCUUCCUAAUGUGACCACAAGAAAAAUGUACCAAAAAUAAUUGCUGGGAAAAGUGGGCUUUUUUCUUCAUGAAAGAUGAUCCAGCCAUGUCUGAAUACUAUUUAAUUAUAAUGUCUGUCAGUGAAUGUGACUAGUUUCUGUGAGAUUGUUCUUAAGUGGUGAACAAGGGUUGUUUUUAAUCUCAAACUGGUAAGAAAUGGUUUGAAAUACUGUGUUUGAAGAGAUGUGCAAUUUUUUCUGGUGAAGCAAGCAAUUUUUUCUCUAGGUAUUGAUGUGGUGGAUUUUAUGAAGAUGGCCCAGAUAGGAAACAUGAAAAUUAGAACUUUCUGCUUCUGGCUGUUUUGAAACUUAAAACUGAAUAGAAAGUGUGUUUGAAACAUGGCGAUGAGCACCUAAGUGUCAGUGUGGCUGCUGUUGACUUGUCAGAGUGAUUUUCUUGAAGGAUGAUCAAGUUAAUUCACCUAACUGAGCAGCUGAUGAUAACAGUAAUAGAAGAGAGGGAUGCUGAAGAGAAGGCUCAACAUGAACCUGAGAAGGCUCAGUAUAUAAGGCUCUUUCACCUCACCCUAUGGGGUGAAGAACUUGGAAAUAUUGGAUUGAGGUUUGCCUUUUGGACCACUUUGGUUUUGAAUUCGAAACCUUUACCUGCUAGAAACUUUUGAGUCUAGAAAUGUAUUUCUGUCCUAUUAUACCUUCAGUAUAAUUUCUUGGGAGGAGGUAGAAGAGUUAUUCUCUUAAUGGUUCAUGGUAGGAGGCCCAUUGCCAUAAGGAAAAGUGGCUAGUGGAGAAGCAUUUGGCCAGCUGGAGCGGGUUUUGUGGAGUCUGGCUGGUAUGACUGAGUGUUGUGGGGAUGCCAUAUGUCCUUGAAAAGUGACUGUUUUAAUCAAUGCUUAACUGUUGGGGCCAAGACCAUCCAGAUUUAUAUGCAAUAGAAGCAAUUGUUUGAUGUUAAUUGUAGGUUUCCUAGGUUAGUAUGUUUUAUGUGUGUACAAAGUGCAUUUCAAGAUUUUGUAGUGUGUUUUCUUUGCUUGGAAUGAACUGUUUGUAUUUUAGCUUCAUUUUAUUGCUCUGCUUACAUGCUGAAUGACAGGCUUCAGAACUUUGUUCUGCUUCUUUCCUAAUAAUGUUGGCAAAAUGCAACACUCGCCAAGCUUGGUUAUGCUGCAUGAACUAAUGCAUUCUGUUUCUAAGUUGGGAAUAAUGUCUUAGAGUUCUUCUGCUUCAGGUUUGUGUCCUGUGCUUUUUCCAUUUGUCCAGUUUGGUUCAGCAUCUGCUGUUUGCUUGAGAACUCCUGAUGAAUGGUAAAUACUUGGGUUCAGGAAAGUGAGGUUUCUGUUGGUGAGUCUGAAGAAUAGAAGCAAUAAAAGGGUAUAAGGAAAAGAAUUGUAUGAGCGAUUUAACUGAAGUUGGUGUGCUGCUAUUUCCUCAUCAGAUUGUGAGAAGACCUCCAUUUGUAUUAUUUUCUCUUCUUUGUAUUCUCAGAAAGUCAUUCUUACUGAACCAGAAGGCUUUUGUGUUGUCCUUGUAGGUUUGCUUGCUCCAAACAUUUGGUGUCUAUAGGAAGUGGAGCCAAUGUCAGGAUCACUGGCUUUCCUUUUCUCUUACAUCACUGAUAUAUUCUCCAAGUACAAUGGAGAAUUGUACCCUGGUCAUUUUUGCCUUCCUGAGGAUUUUUCACUCUCACCCACUAUUACUGUGGUGAAUUAAUAUGUUGAAGAGUUCAAAUCUCUUGCUAAAUGUGCCAGAAUGGUCACUUGGUUUUGCUGUGGACAGGUGAAAAGCACAGAAUGUCCAUCUUAUAAAUUAAGAUGGGACUUUAACUUGGUUCUUUGAAACAAAAAGCUGCUGUUGCUGAGGCCCACAACUUCUCAAAAUUGAGUUGUGGUGUUGUAUUUUUCUUAAAUGACAAAAGAUAAUCUACAGGGAUUAGAAGGAAUUCAAAAUGAAACAACCAAGUAAUACCUAAACCAAGAAGUAAAUCUCUAAAGCUGAAUGAUAAACCUACAUCAGACUUCUGAUUGAGACAUUGACUCAUAAGGAGCCUUAAAGCUAUGACAGCAUGGUCACUUCCUUGUGCUUUAAAUUAUAAAUGAGGGCUAGCUUAGAACAUGAGCUAGACUAUAUGUGCCCUCAAACAGUUUGGGAACAAGAGACCAUGGGUAGAAUUUCCUGGGCUAAUAUUAAGAAAGAUUUUGUCUGUGGAGCUCAUUGGCCUAAGAUUCUGUGGAGACCUACAGGAAAAAAAAAGUUUAGAGGUUGUUGCACCUUAAAAGUAGGGGAAAGGGUAGCAACUACUCUAUCCUGUCAAAGCAUAAACCAGAAAUUGUGUAAGUAGAAGCAAGAUAUUUGUGGUGUCAUUAAGAACAAAACCACUUAUUCACAAUUAUUUUUUGGGAAGCUGUUCUUAUGCUUGAAAAAUGUAACGGUCAGCACAGCAAUGGCUCAAAAUAGCAUUUUGGAUGUUAUAGCACUGGCAUUAGAGCCUCAUUGGCAAACAUCCAAGAGGCCUGUAAAAGAAGAAAAUGCCUUAAAUGUUAAAGUUUCAAAAGCUUCUGCUUAAAUUUAAUUUAAAUUUUCAUUUAUAUUUAAAUUUAAAUUUUCUAAUAUUUUCCAAUUAUAUACCUAUUUAGUCAAAUAUUUGAGAGUGAGCUUAAAAUCCUGUGAAAACACACUAGAUGGCAAGAAUUCUUAUUUGCAGCACAAAAUAAUUGUACUGAUUAUAGGAGUGCAUGUAGGUAGGUAGCUGCAAAGAAGUACUCAAACUUUUUGUGUACAGAAUCAAGUGGUCACUGUACCAGUGAGAUAAAAAGAAAUAAUUUCAGCAUCUGUAUUUUUCUGUUCUCCCUGCUUGUGUAUAUUUUUCAAAUUCUUAGUUGCAUGCCAGGUUACUGUGUAGGCCUUUCUAGGUCAGUUCUUCUUUCUAAACAUACCAGUAGGUUUAGUGGUUACCUGAUGCAAUUGAGGUGUGUUUGUCCUUUGGCAGGACACUGCUGGUGCCAGAGGGAGGGGUGGCCUUUAGCAGCCUCCUUCUCUGCUUUUCCUUACUCUUGGCAGUUACAUCCUGCCUCAGGGUAGGAAAGAUGCCUCCUGUUAGAGUAGGCAUCUUUCUAAACCCCUCUUAGAGUAUCUGUGGAUAACUCAUAGGUGUUGCUAAUGAAUAAAUAGGCAAAUGGCAAGCAUUUAAUAUUACCAGGUUCUCAAUUUUACUGCCGCGUAAAGCAGGACUUGGAAUAAAGGGUGGUAAAUGCUUCGUAUGCUUCCAUGUGUAAUUGUAUUGGGUAAAUGCUGUUACCAAAGUUGCUGUGAACUGUCUUCACAGUAAAAAAAAACGAGCAAAAAACCAACCAACCAGCCAAAAAAAAAAGCAACUCCCCAAAUACCAAAAAAAAAGAUAAAUGGACGUUUUAGGUUGAUUAGUCUCUUUGUGGUCAUGUUUGUAACCAGGAGACCAGGAGUUACUGUUUUAAAAUUAGUUACCAAGGCUCUGACAUCUGGCAUAAGUUUUAAAAGUAUGCCCUCAUCACAAUGCUUCUUUUUCAAAUGUUUAAAGUAAUUAUCAUAGAGGAGGAAUUUGACUUUAUGCUGCUAAUAAAUGCUGGAGCACAUUUUCCAGGACUUCAGAGUUGCUGGCAUAUCUGAUUCUCUGCAGAUCAGGAAGCACGUCAGAGAUCACUAAACCCUAAAGGAGACGAGUAAUCUACUUAGGCGUUUGGGGGUUUUUCUGACUUUAUUUAUAACUUCCAGUUUGAAAUACGUUGAAAAUAGCUUUCUUUUCAUUGUGCUGUAUUUUUGUUUUAAUCCAUCCAACAGCAGAGAGGGAAAUUUGUAUCUUGUCGAGUGUGUGGAAACAAGUGUGCUUAGACAAGAUCUGAAUGUGAGCCCCCAAAGGGUAGCAUUGUGGGAAGGACUUGGGUCAAAAUCUGGGUAAAGACAAGGCCCAGGUACUGGAUCUGCCGUUUCUCUCUGGCUAAAUAUUAGUGUUGUGUUUGAUGUACAGCACCUGUUCCAGACCUCUGCUUCAGAGGCUGGAGGAGUCUGCAAACUUUUCAGGAGUUAUACUUAGUGUUUGGAGAGGAUGUUUGAUUAGGUUUUAAGGUGCAAUGUGCUGUGGCUUGUAUAGAAAUAAUGCAUAAUGUUGCAAGUCAACAGUAAAAAGAAUAAUAAAUGUUGAAAUGCAGGAAGGCUGUUGAUCUUAUUUGAAAUAUACAAGGUUUGGCAAAACUUGGGCAUUUUUUGUAAAAAUUAAUUGCAGUUAUGAAAGUCAAUAAAUAACCCUAGUUUGUAUUUACUGUAUAGAAAAUGUUACUUCAAAUAUUGUUUGCUGCCACAUGAAGUAGCAUUGGAGAGAAUUACUCUGAAAAUACAAAAUUCAAAACCCAGUGUAGUAUACUCCAAGGCUUCGCAUGGCAUGUAGCUAAUGUAUGAGGCCAGUUAGCAAAUGUGGGUUUCCUUAGUGUUAGUCUUGGCAUGAAUUUCUAUUCUUCAUCCAUUUUUUUCUGUCUAUAACCCAUUUUAUGUAGUAAGUUGCUCUAUAGUAUCUUUCCAUAGCCUUAGAGAAACAUCUUGAAUAUGAAAUUAGGAUAUGCUAAAUUACUUGUGCCUAAAAUAAGGAUUACCCAAGUGUUCUAUUUAUACUUUGACUAUUACUCAGGAAAUUUUUCUUCCUCAUGCUGGGUAGUCAUUUACAUCACAUUAUUGGCUGGGUGAUAUUGUAAUAUGCUGUUUGCUGGGAACACUGAGGUGAUGGAUUACUUUUUCAGUAGGCUUUGAAUAUCUUAAACUUCUCUGAAAAUAGGUGCAGAAUUACGGGAGUGGAAUAAAAUACACAUAAAAGAAUAACAAUUAAAAUUCUUAUUCCGUUAGUCCUUACCAUGUGCCACAUCUUGCUCAUGUCUGCUGGAAGAGGCACAGACAUAUAAGCAUUUUACAUUCUUGGAAGAAAAACUGCUGAAGAAGGAGGAAGGUGGUGCAAUUACAUGUAUAUGCUACUUGUGUAGCUUUACUCUUAAGAAAAUGUACCUGAUCCUCUCUAAUAUAGCUUUGCUGAUAUGCUCUGUAAAGCAUCCUAGGAGAAAGGGGUCUGAGGAAGUUGGGACUUUAUUGAUCUGUGAUUUUUGGACUUGUUCUGUAUCACAAAAGAGACAGCAAUUUGUAUAUAUGGCUGAGCAAUAAAUUGCCUCUGAAGAUCAGGAGUAGAAGCUUGACUGCAGGGGAAGACUGUGCUCAUGAAGGUGGUUAAGUACCCAACAUACAGGAUAAAGAAGGUGCGCUGAUAAUCAAGACUAAAAGGAGUAUGUUCUUUAGUAAGAAAUCUUCAUGUGGGGCAUGUUUAUAAACCACUGGUGGGUGAGAAGGGGCAGGUAGGAAGAUAUAGCCAAGGCUGUAAGUAUAUCCUCUUCUUCCAGGUAUUGCCCUCUAGCAGUAGGUGCUGUUUUAGCCCGUUAUUUUAAGCCACUGUACUGAGUAUGUUUAGGUAUAUGUAAUUAGACUGGCUAGCAUAUUUCAGAAACACUUUCCAUAUUGUCAUUGACUAGAGCAUUGUGCUCAACUUACAAAUGUUAUUCUUGUCUUUUUGUCUUCCAUAUUUAUGGUACUGUAUGAUAUUUAAAGUGUGUCUGUAAGAAGUGUCUGUGUAUGUGCUGCUUCCUGGAUGCAACCAGAUAUGCUUGUGAUGAAUGGCUCAACAGCAUAAGAAAUUAAACUCUGAACUAGCCAUGUGAUUCUGUAGAACAGUGGCAAUUGGGUUGGAUAAGUUUAUAAAUCUAAUUAGUCUAAUAACUCGGUGCCAGAAAUUUUAAUAGGUGCCUUUUGCAAAACCUUCUAUUAUGCAAUCAGUUUGGAUUUCAGCGUAAGAGUUUGAAGUAUGCAACGUUGGUUAAUAGGCUUUGGAGAUGGAUGGAAUUUUAUUUUUGCUGGAUGAGGACUUUAAGCUAAGGUGCUCUUGAUACUCUUCUUUUUAAUUACUUAGAAUAAAGAAUUGUAUUGACUGUUUUGCCUUUGAAAAGAAUUGUCACUGCUAUUUGUGCUUUGGAAACAUUCAUGCUUUUGUAAUUAUGGGUUGAGACUAAUGGAAGAAAGUUAUGAAAGGGAUUGCUGAGUUUCUAGUAUUGCCAAGUUUGGAUAGUUAGGUUUGGUUAAUUGAUGUGGAUUAAAUAGUUUUAAAAACUGUGUACCAAGAUGGUACUGAAGUUCUUCUAGCUAAAAAAAGAAAUGUAAGCAGAGUAAGGCUGAACACAGAAAAAAAAAUAAGCCAGAGCAGCUCAGUGCAUAAUUUAUGCUAUGUAAAUUGCUUUGAAAUUAAUGACCCCUGAUGUCAUUGUCCUUAAAAAAAUGCAAAAGGGAAUAGAAAAGCUUGCAUAUUAUGUAGAUCUUGACUGUAAAGCUUGUUAGUCAUUCUAGUAUAUCUCUUACUUGAAAAAAAAUAGAAAUUGCUAAAGUCCAGAAGCUUAAGGAGUUAUCAGAUGGAGUAGAAUAGAUGUAGAAAUUCAGUGAGUGUGUUUAUCAAUAAAUGUACUAUUUGUUGGAAUAUGAGGCGGAAAAGCAAAUACUUUGACAUUAUUUGAAAUUCAUAUGGAAUAUGCGACCAGUUGUAAGUGCUGUGUGACCUGAUUCAGGUAUUUGUUGUAAUGCUGAUUUUCUGUUCUGGUUUGGAUGACCCCUCAUGUAAAUUUAAGGUUUUCAGAUGUUGCACAAAUGAACCUUACAUUGCAUCUCAGCAUCAAAACAAACUGUUAAAUUAUUUUUUUUUUACUAAUAGUUUUUUUCUUUUAAAGGUUAAUGUAAUCAGUUCAGAUAAUUAGCUAUGUAAUAAAAAGCUUACUGAGUAAUUAAUAAAAUCCCAUUAAACCUCAGGUUUAAUGCAUGGAAGUCCAACAGAAGGGAGAUGAACAAAUACUUUCCUUAACUUUUUAAUUGAUACUUAAUAAUUCUUGCAGUCCUAGAUAGAUCUAGGAAAAGCAUUCCUAAGAUAUUUGUAUGUGAUUAGUUAUUUCUGUGCUGUAUCUAGGCAGAAUGAAUUUCAAAGCCUUUGACAAAUGCCUAUUAUUUCUAGAUAUUUGGAGCCCAUUUUUCCCUGGAGGAAGAGUGAUGUAUCUAGGGAAGAAUUUUCUAUUGGAAUUUACUCAUAGCUGUCUAAAAAUUGAGUAUUUGUAUUACAACUGCUUAUCAGUGUUUUGGGGUUUUUUGUCAGAAUGGCUCUCUGAGGAACAUUAGCAAGACAGAGGGAAAUGUGAAUUGCCAUGGUUUUGACACAGAGUUGAUUAUAUUAGUUCUUUGAACUUCAUCUAUCUCUUGUAACAAUGAAACUCAAAAAUAGGAAUCUAGAUACAUUCCUUGAAGAUUUUAAUUUCUCAUAACUUUGACAUUUGAAUAGUUUUUGAAGCUAUUUAUAUAUUUAAGAUUUUUAUUAAUAUAACUUCAGUUGAAAACAUGUAUGUAUUUCAAGAGAUUUUUUCAAGUCACUGAGAUUGCACAUUGUGUUAUAUCUCUCCUACUGUGUUUGCAGUAUAAUGUGUUCUUUAUCAUUAACGUGGCCAUUAGUUUAUGAAAACUAGAAGAGAUGUCUUUGCUUAAAAAAAGUCUUUGAUGUUUAAAACCUUAUUUUAUAAUACUUAAUAAAGAAGUGUAAUAUGGAAUGCCCAUGACAAUUUCAGUCUUUGGUCCAGUUUAAAUAAAUCACUGUUUUCAGUGGGUCCCAAGUAACUGUCAGUAUUCGCUUGACAACUAGGGAAGAGCAGUUUUGUCUCCUUAAUUCUUCUUUUGUAUUUAAUAUAACUCAACACUUAAAUGCCCCAAUAACAAACUAACUCAACCAACCAAAAAAGUCCCUCCUGCCAAUAUUCAUGUUCCAGAGUGGUUAUGUUACUUGCUUUCUUGCUCUUUUGGUUCAUUUUGUAGUCUUGCCAUGUACUCUUUUCAAACCUGUGUGUCCCAAAGCAUCCUGAUGAAAAUCUCUUGAAGUCAAUCAAAAUAGUGUCCCUGAACAUUGCUUGCUGUCUUUGCACUUUUUGGAACUUGCUCUUUGAAGCUUCUGUGUCUGUUCACACUUUGUUUUUUCAUGCCUUUUGGUGUUUCCUAGGUCUUGCAGAUAGAUAGAAAAAAAUUCACACAUUUCCUGUAGCUGUCUCUUUGCUCUUCAGUUUCAAAACAAGUAGUUAUAAAUAAAAAAUACAGUUAUUGGACUGUUUCAGUUGGAAAAGAAUUUAACAUCUUUACUAAAUAUUUACACUCUUGAAAUUAAGACUUUAAGAUGGCAAGCUCUUUAUGUGAUACCCUAAUUCUGGUGUAGAAAAGUUUUUAGUGACAAAUCAGUUAUAGACAGUUCCUGACAGUGGAGGCAUGGUAUAUGGCCUGGAAGAAAUUGCUGACAAAUAGAGAAAGGCUUCCCCUAAAUUGGGAAAUAUCAAAUUGUGACACAUGUGUAAACAAGAAAGUUUACCAAUUUUAUAAUCAGGUGUCAAAAUGAUAUGUUAAAUAUAGUUACCUUGUGGGCUGGUGGCACAUUGUACAUCACUGAAUGUUUGAUAGUUCCUGUAAAGAAAAAGCCUGUUUUCACAAUAAGUAGAACACAGGACUCUAAAAUGAAGCUUCUCUUUCUUACAAAGAGAAGUACCAUUGUUACUCACUCUAAAAAAAUGGGCAGGAAGAGAGGAAGGUGGUCUGUUAGUUGCUAGCCCCAUUUGUUUCUGCAUCUCAAAAGUGUAUUCUUUUGUAGCUUCUUACUGCUUUCUGCUACCUGGCCCUGCCACGAGCAGUGGUGUUUGGACUAAGUGAUCUCCAGAGGUCCCUUCCAGACUCACCUAGUUGGUGAUCCUGUGGGAAAUUCAGUACACUUCCAUAAAUUUUUAAAUUUUUAUUUUAAACUAUUUGUUACAAAGCAAGGAGAUGAGAUACUUGUUUGAUAAUUUUUUUUAUUUUAUUUUUAGAGAAAUGAACAUAGAAAUUGGGACCAAUGAUUGUAAAACCAGAGCUGAAGGUGGUGCUUCACUAAAACAAAUGUUCUUCCUCAAUCACAGAACUGAAACCAGAAACCCUAAGUAUCUUAGGAUGAUGUAUGGACAGCAAGCCAGAGUUUUAUUAAUCCUCUUAAGCUUGCAUUUAAGUAUUGGUUCUCUAGAACACCUUUAACUUGCUCCUGAUGCACACUUGUAUUUUAUUUAGAUUUUUUUCCCUAGCAAUGUUUUUCAUAAAACUUUAUAUAGAUACUGCUGUAAAUUCCAGUGGCUGCCUGGUUUCAAAGAGAUUUCUUCCUUCCUAAUGUCCCUUUACCUUUCUCUGGUUACUGUCUCUACCUUUGCCUUUCUCCUCGACCUGUUGGUUUGUUUUAUUGAAAGGCUUCAGAUGGGAUGUUUUAGGAAGAUGAAAGGAAAGAUGAUGUGGUCAAUUCACCAUAGUAUUUUGUCUCUCUUAAGCCCAUAGUUGUGGUGCUGUUUAUUAUCCAUAUUUGGUUUAUUUGAAUACAUUAUACAAUUGUAAAUUUAACUUAAAAGUAGUGAGUUUUAGGAAGUGUUAAAAUUUGUGUUUUAUAUAACACAAAUCAUAAAAAUAAGUAUUUGCCAUCAGUAUAUAACACUAUGUGUGUUAUGAUGGGGAACAUACAUUUUUAAUGAAUUUAAUUUACUACACUAGUUUGAGAGAGCGAACGUCUAACUUUCUUUGAAGUUUCUGGAAGGACCAUGAAAAAACUUAAAACUUACUGUUCCUUCUGCAGUCUAUAACUAGUGCUUGCCUGUUUUAUCCUUUGUUUAGUUAUAGCCGUAUCAUGUCCCCUUUUCUGGCUCCUGCAGUCUUGGAAUCUACAGUGCUAUUGGCAAAGCUGCUAUGAGCUCAAACUUUUGGGACUGAAGGAUUUUAAAUUUUGUUAUGCAUAUUUUGGGGGGAUACCUAAGGAAUGACUGUCUUGGUUUUGUUCCUGUGUUUGAAUUCCUUUUCACUGGUGUUUGUAGAAGGGAACAGAAACUUGAAGUAAAGAAUUGCAAAGUUUGACAGAGCGUAGCAGAGAAUUUGCUGCUGUCUGUCAGCAGUUCCACUUUUUGUGGUGCACUGUUAACCCGUUCUGGACAGCUGACAACCUGUGCAGGUCCUGUAGUCCUUCCAGAGGAAGCAGCAACUGGAUAGGCAGGAUUGGCACACAAGGGGAGAGACAUCCAUUGUACUUGUUGUAUGCAUCUCUAAGUCUCAAGGGUUCACUAGGCCUAGUACUUCAGACUUACCGUUUCUGGAUAUUCUAGAACUGGAAAGUUUCUGUUCAUCACUUUCUCAUUUUGUGUCUUCUGAUCUGGUAGAGAAUGUGGUAUAAAUGCAUGAUGGCAGUGAAAAUAACACGCUCAGACUAUCAUUAGCCAGUAAUUCAGAACUUGUUAGGUCUUCGUGUGGGUUUACUUUGGCCAGUGAGCAGACCAGAGUGAGUGUGUUGGAGCCAAGGAAAUGGAAUAUGCUUUUGAACCAUUGUUCAGGUUUAUUCCAACUAUUCUUUUUCCUAUUUGCUGAUUGUUAAAUGGCUUUGGUAGGUAACUUGAGGGAAAAAAAAGGUGGAGGAAUUGGCACCUGCAUGUAUCUCUUCAAACAUCCUGUUGUGAGCCUGUUGAUUACCUUUUCAUGAACUUCUGUGAAACUUUUUCAAAAAGCUUGGAUGUUGAAAAUUAAAAUAAACAGGAGAGGGAGGUAUCUGGAAGUCUGUCUUCCCUUUCCCAGGUUCUGUAUUUUGGGGACCAAUAAUUUCAUCAUGACAAUGGUAGUUUUACAAAUGCUGAAUGUGUUUUCCCAUGGUGUGUUUUUAAGAUUCAUUUGUGUUAUGGCUGACAAACUGCUAGUGUUGCAAACGUUAUCCUGAGUGUGUCUUGGUGAAAAGGAAGGCAAGUCUAAGGAUCAAGUCAGCAUGAGAAACAAACCAAUGAUUCUAGCUUCCUAAUUGAGUUAAAUUACCUGACAAAUCAGACUUUAAAAUGGUUUCCGAGGUUGUAAGCUAUCUGAAAAUUGUAGGAAGGCACUUUUUUAGAUACACAGCAUAGAAACUGGGGAAGGCUCAGCAAAACUGACUAAAUGAUUCUUUUGCCUUUCUGCUACAGUCUUAGAUUGAGAAUUCCCAAAUUCUUUUUUUCAAUUAGCCUUUUAGGUGAGCGUUUUUUAAUGCUGAGAGGGACAUGUUGUUUCUGAGAGGGUAUGACACUACCUUUCAUAAAUGUUUCAUAAGUGUGGUUUUGCUUCUUUGGAAAUACUUUGAACUUUGGUUUGUGUUAGGUGAAACAAGAAUGUGGUCACGUGUAGUUCUAUUGUACUUUUGACUUAACUAUUGCAUUCCUUUUUUUUUUUACAGGUUUGUUUUUCUAAUAAAACUGCUUGAGUUAUAAUUUAUUCUCAAUUUCAUGCUGUCUCUUGGAUGAUACUUAUUCUAGCACAGAAUAGUCUCACUUAAUAUUUUUCUAAAAUACGCUUGUACUAGUGGUCUCAAAAGAAGGAUGCUCCUGAAACUGGGACAAGGAUUCUUCACUCAAAGCCAUUUGCAAUUGGAGAAGACAUUCAAAACAUUUGUCCCUGAUUUGGUUGGUGCAGGAAGAGAUUUCUAAAAUGUUGGGUACAUAAAAACUGGGAACUUCAUGUUCUUCUCUCCCAAUAUGAGCAAUUAAAACAAGUGUGGGAAAGAACAAUUAUAUCCAUUGCAAAAUAUUCUUGACAGGGCCUAAUUUCUUCAAGUACUUGAUUGCCAGCUCUGGUAAGUGCUAAUGUGUUCAUAGAUCAUCCAAAAAAUUGUGUGUAGAAAUUUAGAAUUAAAAAUGCAUUAAAAUUAUGAGCUGUAAAUUCAACUGAUCAGGCUCUUUGAACUACAACACAAAUAGCUGUGUGCUGAUUGGAGAUUUUCAAGACUGAAAGCUGUCUUCCUGAGAAUCCCUCUGCUUUGCUUGUUUAAACCUUGAUACAGUCUGAUUUUUCAAGUGUCCACUCUAAAUUCUUGGGCCUCUAUUAGAAAAGUUUUGGUUGCAGGGUACAUGUGAUGCUUUUAAAUUUUUUUGCACAGUGAUGCAGAUGUUUUUACACUAUCCUUCAUUCAGCCUAAAGUAGUAACAUGGAAGUAAUAACAAAAAAUGUUUUGGCAGCUUUGUGUUACUUAGAAGGAUAGAUUUUAAUGUUAGCUCUCUUGUCAAGCAUAGCAGCCACUUCUAUGAAUAAAUAUUCUUACCAGCAGAUACUGUUGUGUGAUAUUAGAAUGGUUCUUAAAUAUUUGGCAAAUAAGAUGGCAACUUGCAUUGGAACAGUGUUUAAAAACCAGAUAAAAACCAUAUAGACUUGCAUCAGAUCAUGAAAGAAGCUGAAUUGUACUUAAAAAUAGCAUGGCUGAUGCAGUAGUCAGGCUAAUGUUGAAGCCUAAGUAUUAUACCCAUAACACUGACUCUAGUCCUGCCAGUGGCUUCGUAAAUGAAUAAAGUUAAUGCUUCAGGAGCAUUGAAUUCAGUGGAGUUCAAUCCAGUCAGUGGCUCUGCUACAGGGUUAAUGUAGGAUGUAGGAACCCGCCUUGAAAGAUUUUAUUUUCAAGUAUGUUUGCCCCCCUGGGUAUUUUUGUUUAAUGUUUGAGAAAGAAACAAAAAGAUCCAUGAGUACUGGAGUUUUAAAAAAACUGUGUGCAUGACUUUCAGGGGUUUCUGUCAAAAGUCUUGUUGACUGUGGCACUGCAGUUACCCUUUUUCUUAUUGCCAUGCUGCUCUUCACUUUGCCCCCAGUAUUUCAGUUUUCUCAUAUCUCUUUCCCAUGUUCCCUGUUGUAGUUUCCCUUUUGUUUUGUCUAUUUUGACUUGCUGACUGUCUGAAAAGAAACCCUGGCUGGGCUGCUGCUGCUCUCCCCACUUGGGGUGUACUACCUGGAUAGCUGGUGGUUGUCCAUCAGAAUGAGUAAUGGUGGGGAUGCCUCUUUAUGUUCCUCACCUUGUACUUGCAGAGGCAAAAACAGGGCCAUGCUCAUCUACUUCAUUGGUCCAUUCUUCUGUUCUUUGAGGUGAGACACUGGAUAUAAAAUUAACAGUGGCUUCAAAAGUGGUUUUGUGGGAGAUGUGCAGUAGAAAUACUUGUUUUCUUCUGUUAUUUUGGGUUUGUUUGCUUUUGAAGACCCAGUAAGAAUUGUGCAGUAGGUAGUAAUCUUGUUGAGUAUGAGAGGUUUAUGUUUGCAAACUAUUUAAAUGUAAUAACUAGAAAAUUUGCAAGUCCAUGGAGUUACAAACCCUGUGUGUGAACUAAAUAAAUUUCUAUUAACUUUGUCAAUUUCUGAACAAAAUUAAUGGUUCUAAUCAAACAUGGAGAUGAGUUAGUUGUUACACUAGCUAUGAGCCCCCUUUUCCUGUAACUUGUAUGUUUCUGUGUUUAAUGCUAACUCCAAUUCUGAGCAGAUUGUUAAGCUGGUUUGGAUUUGGCUUCCUCAUAGUAACUCUGGUUCCUCCCCUUUGAAUUGUGUACUUUGCCUGGGCCAUGGGGAGAUGGAUUACUUAUGUCCUUGUCCAUAGUAUCAUGCUUUUACAUCAGCCUAGCUUUGGUUUUGCUACAUAUUCAUGCUGCAAAUGAAUGUGUAGUGGUGGUUUGAGUCUGCCUUAUGAUAAUUGGAGAACAGAGUAAUCAGAUGAUAUUGGCUUUUCUGAUUGCAAGCUGCUGCACAGGCAUAAUUUUUUUUGCAUUAUUAUUUAGGACACUGUUUCAGAAUAACUGUUUGCUUGUAUGUAAUUGAUGAAGAGGAGAAAAGGAAGAUGUGUUAAUGCAUACUGGGGAAAAAAGAUGGAUUGGUAGUGUGUAAGAAGAAUGUUAAUGCUCACAUUUUAUCUCUUAACCUUCCCUUUAAAAUACUUGAGCUUUGUCAAUAGUGUCUUUUACCACUGUUACCUAAAUUGCAGUUAGAUUCAUAGAACUGCAGAAUGGUUUGUGUUGCAAGGACCUUAAAGACAUUAUAGUUCCAAUGCCUGUCAUAUAUUUGCAUACAUUUUUUUUUAGUCUGUACUCAGUAUUGUCUUGCUGCAGUUAAAGAACUAUAGAUAUAGUAGAGUUCAAAAAUCUGUGCUAUCCAGUUAAUGAUUCAUUUCCUUAAAGGCCAAGGUUAUCAUGGUGAAAUUAUUAGCUCUUUGAGAAUAGUCUGCCACAUGCAGGUGAUCAAGUGAUUCCACUGGAGUUGUGGAAUUAUACCCUUCCCCAUGUCCUCCCCUGCCCCAGUGCUCUAUGUCCCAGCUUUGGAGAUGGGUAGCAUCUUCCAAGUAACUUUUUUAAUGCAGAUGUCUUUUAAAUUUUUUAAAUGUCUUUUAUUGCACAUUAUUGUAAUGAACUGCAGUAAGUAUGAAAGCAAAUCAUUACCUGAUUGUGCUUGUGAGCAACUUGGUGUUAGGCAGAAGCAUUUUAUUUAAUGUAACAACUCUUUUGAGGAAACACUGACCUUUACUUAUGUUUGAUACAGAUAUCAGAGAUCAGGCAACUAAUUUCAUGCUAAAAGAGUCAUGUCAAGAAUACCUCCAUUGUAUGUUAUUGUCAGACUCGCUUCAAAAAUAAACUCUGAGUGUUGUAGAUAUUCAUCAUAACAGAAAUGUUAGGUAAUGAUUCAAAGGUAGUGUUGUUUUCAAGAGGGUUCCUAAGUUUUCCUACCGUAAUGAUUCUGUGAUACCAUCUUGCAUGUUUGCCUUGAGUGCGUGGGAAGCUCUUUUCUAUCUGCCCUGGAUUGUGGUUAUUUUUAUCAAUGAAAUCUUGACUCAAAUGCAGGAAAGAGGGUCCUGUGAGAUUCAGUGUAUGGUUAAACACUCUCCAGCCCAGAUCAGUCAGUGGGGUAAGUUGCUAUUUUGGUACGGUUAUUUGAUGUCUGACUUUUUCCCUGUUCUGAAUAAUUUUUGUGAAGACAGUAUGCCUAGCCUAGAAAUCAGUGGUUUUGUGUGUAUUCUUUUAUGUAUAACUUGAUACUGUUUUUUUUUCUUGUAUACAAGCUAAACCAAGUGCUAAUAUUUCAACAGAUACAGAAUGACAGUCAAACACUACACACUGGUAUGCCUGUGAAGAGGCACUGCCAAAGUUAAUUGUGUCUAGUGCAAAAGCUUGGAGUUCUGGCUGAUCAAAGCAGGUAGGUGUGAAGGUGCUUGCAUGGAGAGAAGAUAAGGGGACUCAAUGCAAAUAGUUUUACAUAAGCAGAACAAAAUUAUACAUUUCAAAUGGCCUUUACCUCAGCUAACUGAAACAUUCUUAAAACUUGCAAUGGUCUUAUUCCAAGCGGUUUGGAAAAAAUGAUGCAAUUUUAAUUUAAUACUGAAAUGUGGGUGAAUUGAGGCACUAGUCCAAUAAGGAAAGUUAAGUCAGCAAAUCUUCAGAAAACAUUUAAUUAGCUAAUUAAAGACAGCAUAUUUUGUAUGGUGGUAGCAGUACAAGACAAUUUAGAAUGAUUUUUUCAUGUACUGUUAACACAUACUAGGUAAAAAUAUAAAAAUAUAAUUCUGAUCUAAAGCAUCACUGACUGCAUAUGAGACUUUUUAAACUUGUGUCUUGAACCUGAGAGUCAGACUGUAUUACAGAGGUGUAUUAUGGUGUGCUUGCACAUCAUUUGCAAGUCAUGACUAAAUCAGUUCGUCUUCAUUGUCAACUGCUCAUGUUAGACAAUAAUAAGCCUCUGUUGCAUCACAGACCUAUUAAUGCUGAAGAACUAAGACAGCUGACAAUAGCAUUGACAUCACUUUGUGCCUGAGCUGUAACAGUUACUAGAAAAUUCAGUUUGGGCUGUAGAGUUCUUACUGCUUCUGAAAAUGAAGAAGGGAUCAAGCCCGUUGCUCUGAGUGCAUUCUAGAUUUAUUAACUCUAAGAGUAAGGAAACCCUUUGUAGAAAUCAGGACUUGAUAUGGAAAGUAACGCAAAUGCUCAAAUAUGAAAUACAACUUUUGAGUGCUUUCCAGAAUAAAACUUGGUGAAACUGAUGACUUAAAAAACCCGGGUAAUUUGUUUAGCUUUUUAUUUAUCAGUGUGCCGAUAUUGCCUUUUCCUAACAUUAAUCUAUUAAAUAUUUAUAUUGGAGUAAAUAUUGCAUGAGAGGGGAAUUUCUCUGCUGUGUUUGAAUUCUCCAGAGAUUGCAGACACCAGAGCGGGAAGUCAUGAAGUGUCAAAACUUAGAGAAAAGCCUUGAGCUGUUCUCAUCUGGAAAUUCAGAUAGGACCUCACCCUACCUCCAAAAGACCCACCAAAAAAACCAGAAAACCCACCCAAAGCCCCACAAAAUCAAGCAUCCAGUCUGAUGUGGCUGUUGGAACAGCACUGAAAUCACUCCUCUAACAUUCCUUGUGCGUGGUAUUUCAGCUUCCAGGUUCUACAGAUAGCCAGUCUAGAAGACUCUGACCAGAGAAGUGUAGGAAAUAUAUGAAGAUUGAAAACUUAGUAAGAGAAAUGAUGCUUUAAAAAAAUUGUGUAAGAAAUUUGUUACCUAAUUGUAUGUAUAUAGAAUCAAAUUAUUUUGAUCAAGCUAUGUAUCAAGAGCUACAAAGGAAAAUACAAAAACCACUGUUAACAUUAAGAAACUACAAGUUUUAUUUAAUUUUUUCAAGGAAGUUCAAGGUAUAAAGAAAUGCUGUAACCUUUAUUUCUCUAGUUGGCUUUCUUAAGCAGAAAAAAGCAAACAAAUAGCCAUCAUAUGAUGUCUUAAAAAAAAGGGUUUUUUUAAAAUAUUGGCUCAUGCACUCUGCCCAGAAGCAUAGAAUUUCCCUAAGACUGAAAGAAGGUCUGUUUUUAUGACAGAAAUGUAUGUUAGUGCCAAUAAAGUCUGUUAAUCUGAUUAAAAUGUGGUUUAGUUAGGCCAAAAAAGGCUUGCUUUCAACUGUACUUGGCAUAAAAGCUGACAAGAAAUAAAAAGCAUGUUAAUGAGGACAUUUAAAAAUAUUCUUGCAAUAUAAACAGUUUAAAAAAGAAAAAUAAUUAUAAUAUUGUUUAGCAAAUACCCAUUUCUCUAAUUGUAUAAAAUUGGUGCUUCUAUUAAUGGAAUUGUUUUUAAAAGGUAGUAUUUUCUGUAAUCAACCAAUCAUUCAUUUUCAUACCUCUAGUGUUUUCCUGUUGUUGUAUAUGUGCCAAGAAAUAUUGGCUGUGUUUCUCAAAUGUGUGGUGUUGUGAUAGCUAUAUAUAAUUUUGGAAUUCUGUGUCAUGCUGAGUUCAGAAAAGCCAGGGCUUUUUGCCUCUCCUAAACUAGAGUUUAUGGAGGGUCUCUCGGGGAUUGGUACCUCUGCCAGUCUUAGCUAGGUAUUGUCUGAUGCCUUGUCUGAUAAUCUCGACAAUGCUAUGACCCUCUGGGGUCUAGUAGGCCUUUAAAGAAGUUGAGCACAAAACAUUUCUGGAGAGAGGCCAAAUGCUUUUAAAACACCUCCUGGAAUUUAGAAAGUCAAGAUUGUUGCCAUUCUGUUUGUUGGCAUAUUUAUCUUUUAGUGACAGGUUGCAUGAUAAUCUUAAAAAUAACACUUAGACCAAGGUUUUUGCUGCCUUUUCUAUCCAUCUUGGGGCAAAAUAACAUUAUAUAAUGUAGCUAUUAUAAUAUUCAAUGACUUCUGCCCUUCUCUCCAAUCAAGUCUCCUCCUCCUGUUUCCCCCCCCCAAAUGCCCUAGACCAAAAAGUUUUGGAAAGCUACUAUUUUUUUGUAGUUUCAGUAGCUUGGAAUUUAAACAGCUUAUAUCACUCAUUUUGAUACUUAAUACAUGAGCCAUGUUGGUGCUAGUUUCUGGGAAAAUGAUGUUUUACUAAAAUUUGUUGUUCUUGUAAUAUUUAUUUUGAAUAACAGUUCAACUGGUUGCUGGUGUGUAGAUCCCAUGGUGGGUUUGCAGCCUGCACAUACAUCUAGAGAUGUAAUUAAUGGCAGCAGGAGACAGCAACUAUAAGAGCUGCAAAUGCUCUGCAGGGGUAGUUGCACCUUAGAUCUAAAAUAAUUGCAUAAUGCUUUAAAAUUUCAGUUUGAGUGUUGAGAAGUAUUAGACCUGACUGCAGGCAACUUGAAUUGGGUAUGGUAAUUUGUCCUGUUUUCUAUGUUCUUCUGCUUGGAUCCUGCAGUUGUUGGAGCUGCAGUAUUAGAAAUAUGAAAAGUAUUGUUGCUUAUAUUCUAUGCCAUUAACCAAAUGGAGAUUCAAUUUUUUGCUUAUUUUGCAGAUGGUAUCCUGUACAGUUUACUCUUAAUUGUUUAAACUUUCAAUUUCUUGGCUAUUGAGCUUCUGCUCACUGAUGCAGAAAAAUGGAGACCACUCCUCAGUGACUCGUGAAUUGGCUGUGGAAUGUGCCCUAUAGAGAAGGAAGAAAGCAAUAAAGGGAAUUUUCCUCCAGGCAUAUUUAUCAGCAGUCAGGGCAUAAUGGAAACACAUGGCAGAGAUUCCUCUCUUUGCCCAAAGAAGAUGAGGGUAUUGAUUACAGGAUUCAUGACCAUCUUCCAUAUGCUCACUAACAGAAGUGCUGGUGAUUUCCUGGCUUCAUCUCUAUCUGUAGAUCACCAGCGUGUUUUUCUUGUGUCAUCACAGCCAUAAUUUCUUUCUGCUUCAGCCCAAAGGGUCCCAUCAGAGGCUGCCCUUGAGGUAAAUCAACAAACUGCAGUACAGUGACUGAGAAGAGCUGUUGGAUAUUCAGCUGCUUAAGCUGACUUAACAUCCCAUCCAGGUAGUACAAAUCACUCCUGGUGAUUGAUAUGAGGCAACAAAAGAACUUUUCCCAAAAUUCCUGUGAGAGGGAUUCAGGUACUUUGGAUGGUCAUUUCUAGACUUCUUUUUCAUUCUUUAGAAUUUUCAUAAGGACAAUGGGGUAUUCAUUAAUAUUUCUCAUCUCAAAAUGCAGAAAGAUUUAGUUGUUUCAGCCUGAAAUAUAUAUCUCUGUGUAGGAAUCAAUCAGGCUAGGGUUUUUGAUGGCUAGAACACAAAAACUACCAACCUCAUUUAUUCUUUACAGUUCAAGACAAGUCUGCUCAAGAGAAGAAUUCUAUAUGAAAAGAUAAAAAUAAGAGUUUUUCCUUGGUUGUAAAAGGAAAGAUACCAUGAUCUUAAUGAAAGAGAAUGACUUGAUGUUAAAUUCUUACCUAGCAGCUUGUUUCAGAUUGAUCUUCCAGAAACUGUUCAGCUGUUUCUGUGAGAACACCAAUGGACAAAAUCCUCAGAGUGCUUUUUAUUUUCCCAUUAAAUUUCACUUUGGAUCUUUGUGUCUUCUGCUCAAGAAGAGGCAUGAAUCAAAUAAGACCAAGUACUCCUGUCUCCUACGCUCCUGAGGCUUCAGUAGGUUAUGUCAGUGUAUUGAAGGUGAUCUGGAAUUUUUUCCAUUGAGUAGGGUAUUUUGUGUGAAGAACUAUUUCUUACAGAGGUGCUAGACAGAUUCCUGUUCGAAAGGACUCUGCAAUAAGCUGGGUCAUGCUGCUUUGUCUGGGCUGAUCUGCUCUGAUACCUUCUGUUGUUUUGAAUAUCUUGAUACCUUCUGUUGCUGGAAAAGAAUAUUGACUUAGAAAGUCAGUAGUGCUUGUAAACUUCAAUGCAUCACCUGAAAUGAAGCUUGUAGUGCUGUGUAUGGCAUCAUAGUUUUGAAUGAUAACUAGUAUUAGAGCAACUUGCAAUGCCUUGAAUCUCAGGAACUUAUCAAAUUAUCUGGUUAAAAAGAACCUUCUCUUCACAAGGGAGUCUUUAAGAAGAACUAAGGCUUUCAACUGCUACUGUCCUUUUAUAAUGUUUUUCUUAGCCAGCAGAUACAGAGCAGUAGACACUUGCAUUGAACACAUUCUUUUUAUUAUUUUAUCUUCUUUUGUUUUCUUCUGUCUCCUUUACUGGAAGAGGAGAGUACAAACAUCAGCCUGGAGACAUCUCUUGGCCAAGGCAUUUAUAUUUGUGUUCAUCACUUACUCUUUGAAUAGGAAGAAACAAGAACAUGCAUGUGGGAUGAAAAGACUGAGCCUCACUCUCUAAUCUUUGAAAGUUGGUCUGAAAUAAUGAGACAAUAUUUUGUCCAGUUGAAAGGCAUAGAAACAUAUCUUGAUCUUGAGUUGCUGAAAAGUAAUGAAAUUACAAUAAAAAAGAACCCUAUUUUUGUGAACCACUCUUUCUAUUUAUACUAAAAACUCUUACCUUAGCUUGACAUACUGUAACCAUAUUCAGGAACAAAGAAGCAGAGUAUCCUUCUGCAUGCCCAAGCAGUUUCUCUAGAAAGAAGUUGCUGAUUUUUCUGUUUUAAUUACUUUAAGUUAUCAGGAUUUGUCCUUGAUGGCUUUAUCUGUCACGAGUUCCUGUAUGCUACUCUAACUGCAAAAUUGCUGUAGUUUUAAUGACAAAGCCUUCCCUCACCACCCAGUUUUCUUGUAUUAUUUUGAGCACAAUGAACGAAAGAAAGCUUUUUUGAGCAGCAGAAAACUUGUAAUUAAAGAACAUGUGAGGUAUCUAACCAUAUAAAGCUAUUUUGUUUAGGUGUGUGCUCUAGAGGAGAGGAUGAAGAAACACCACCAAUUGCCCCAAAAUUAAUUAAGCAAAAUUCUUCAAACAUAAUGAGUAAUGUACCUCCUUGGUUAACUGUUGGAUCAUGCUCUACCUGAUGUCUUAAGAGCAAAGAAGAGCCUGUCUGGUAAAGUGAUGGUGCCUUGUGUGCCUCAGCACAAUGACUGCCCCACAUGCAGAUGCCUGGCACUGCUGUUGUGCAGAAGGUACUGCAGUGGAUAAUAACCAGUAAAUGCAUAUGUGAACAGCUAUCCUUGUAGCUGUUGGAAGUCCAGUGACUUCUGGUUCUGUUUUGUUGUAUGUGGGCUCCAUGCUACUUAUAAAAUUUCACAGGAGUCUUAACCAGCUUUCAGGAUUUGUGAAGAAGAAAAUUUCAGCUCUCUUACACAUUACUUUUGUUUAUUGUUCGUAAUUCACAGCUCCUAGGACAUUUGGGUUUUCAGAAAUAAAAAGAGGAGUAUUUUAGAAAUCCAGAAAUAUGAUGCAGGAAUAUGAGUAGGUUCUUAUCUUCCACAGCAAUCAUAAUCUGCCUAGAUGAGAUCAAAGGUUGUCACAACAGCAUUAAGCUACUAUUAGUGUUCAAUCAGUGUGAUUUUGGAAAUAAAGUAGAGUACUUGAGAUUGGACUAAGACCUUUACAGAGGAGUUGGGAGAGGUGUUAGGAAGUCAUUGGUGAGGGAAACAUUCAGGUAAGUAUGACCAUUUCUUCUUAAAAGAGAUUAUGGGGAGAUGUUCACUGCAUUGCAAUAGAUGCCAUUUUUAAUUCACUUGAGAAAAAGUGAACAGAGGAGAGAUUUGGAUUAUUUUUCCAAGAAAUGAGCGCUUAAAUUUCCCCCUCCCCCCCACCUGCAUCUACUUGUAACAAACUGAGAGAACUUUCUGGACAAAACAUCUUAUGAUUGAUCUCAUCUGUUGCUAGAUGUCUUAAUAGUCUUGAAAGUUCACAGUUCAACACUUUGGGGUUGGUUUUUUUUGGCAUCAAAGCAUGAAAAAACUGCAUGUACUAGUACUCAUCUCUUGUCAUCCUCCCCUAUUGCAGUGACUAUGUGUAUGUCUCUGUGUGGCAGAAAAUGAGGGAAUACAGAUCAUUAUUCAAGAAGUUACCAACUAGCACUUUUCCUUCCCCUCCAGUCUUUCUGCCUCCCUACCCUGGAAGUAUGGAGUCCCUGCCUCAGCCUACGGCUUCAUUCUUUUUCCAGCUGCCCACAAAAGUAAAGAACCAGUGUGAGAGUUUGAAGAAAGAAUCCGCUCAGAGGACUGAGUCUCAAGCAAAAGCUCCAGGUUGCAGACUCAGAAAGAAACUUCCUUUGGGGAAGGAUCUGCUUCCAGGAUUUGCUCGUCUCUUUUUCCUUGGGCAAACAGUUCUUGAAGCAAACGACAGGGUUGCAGGACACCUUCUAACCUUUAUACUGCAUCACAAGCCUUCAGCAGAAGAUCUUAUGUUGCUGGAAGAUGACUGGGUUUGGAUCUUGGCCUUCCCUAAGCAGGAUCUCCUGGCAAAAAAAUGGGAUUGGGAAAGAAAUGGCUCCUUUUUCCAUCACACAGAACCACCCUAGAAACGGAGGCCUAGGCAGAAAAUUACUUGUAAUGCAUUGUUCUUUAGGAAAUGUGUUUGGCCUCCCACGGUCCUUUUUUUACAAUGUCAUAUAGAUAUCCUUUAUAAAACCUAAACCUGGCAUCUUCCUAUCUGAAGAUCAAGUCAAUAAAUCCAAGAUUAAGAGUUUACAGGUCUAAUAAUGUGGUCGGGUCUUGCUGUCCCUUGCAUAGGAGAUGCCACGUGAAUCUGUGAAACAGGGUUCUGCUGUGGUUCAGACUGUUAUAUUUGUAAAGCCUUUGCUACUUACAUUAAAAUUAUUAGAAAUAAUAAAGGUUCUUGUAAAAAUGGUAUUUAGACUUCUACCUUGCUGGGUUUACUUAAAAAAUAAAUUUGGGCCAAAAUGUCACAAUGGGCAAUAUGGGAAGUAGUGCAUCUUUUGAGGUUUCCUGUGGCUUUGUGUCACAAAAAAGUGUGUUGGAACUGUUAAGAGCUAUAAAAGGGGAAAUCUUAGAUUUUUCUUUGAGAGAGAGAAGUUGUUUGUUAGAAAGCAGAAAGCUUUUAAUCGUUCCCCCUAAGGGAUUCUGUAGUCAAACUUAAUUAAAUGUCUUCUAAGAUCUCAAAUAAAAACCUUCUGUUUGGCAGUAGCAAACAGCACACACAUGCCUGUGCACUUGUGCUGUUCUCACUAUAGGAAAUUAGUUUCGAAGAAUGGGGCUUAGUUCUAGUGUUCAGAUAAGGAAAGGGGAAAGUUUUGUUCUGAAGCUGAGUGUGAGAAUAGGAGGCAGGAGGGUGUACCAGACCCUCUGGCAGUAGGUGAAGAGCACUUUUGUUUUUCUGUUUUCUGCUUCUGGCAGUUGAAGUAAACUAGCCAGAUGCUUGUACUUGAAUCCAAUUAUUUUCUUAAAUCAGUUGUCACAAAACAUUUUUUAACUAAUGCCUAGAUCUUUUGUUAAAUUCACCAGCUUAUUUAAAUUAUUCAAUAGUCUUAACAUAGCCCUGAGGCUACUGCUUCAUGGCAGUUGUCACUUCUUACUAUUCUGGAAUGCACUGCAGUCCUAGUACAUUCUAAAAAUAAUUGUUCAGAUGGUGCUGUUUAAGUACAUACUUAUGUAGUGAGCCAUUUUCACUGGACUUUCUGAAAUUGGCUUUCUGUUGGAUGGCUUUUAAAUAUCUUAUUUUGUGGUGAUUAUCAAACUUGUUUAUCUUGGUGCUUCUGUGGUUAUUGAGUAAAGUGCUGAAUUUAUAACCUGGUAUUUUUAGAGACCUGAUAGUCACAUGCCUGUGUUAAACUAUGCAAGCACAGUAACACUUGUUAACUUUGAAGUUUAAAAAGAAAUCAGUUUAAUGUAUCAAAUUCAAUCCUGUUAUAAUAUGUGGAAAUAUGUAUGUGAUGAACUUAAAAUUGAGUAGUUGCUACAGAUAUAGACAUGAAUUGUGUACUGAACAGAAGUAAUUAGACAUUAAUAGCUGAAGAUCUGUGGGUCUCAGAAAUGAAUUCUAACAUCUGUGACUAGAGUUUUGUGCCAGCAGUGCUUUUAAUUGAAAAUACCUGUUUUUCAAAUUUCUAGUCCAUUUAAGGUCUGAUAUACUUUGUGCCUUAAUAGGUAUACUUACACUUGCCUCAGCCACAGUUUUUGGCAAUUUUAUUUUGUAGUAGGUAAAUUUAGGACUGUCAAAUACGUACGAGACAGGCACCAAGAACUGUUUGUUACUGUCUCAGUUCUUAAAAUGGCUUUGCUCCUCCCCAUCACAAUUAGGAAACAAAACCACCAAAACAAAAGCAAAAACCAAACUAAAAAGCCUGUUGCGAUUCUACAGUCGGUAUUUUGAUGUUUGUCUUAUCAGCAUAGCGUUAGCAUGUUUGUCACGCUCUGAGUUUCACAGUUGGAAUCCUGGGUUCUUGAUACAUCCUUAGAACAAUAAUUCAUGCCUUUGUGUUACUAAAUAAUAAAGAUACCUGAAACAA